rnacentral:lncRNA from 1 species
CUUGGAGGAUCUGCCACAUGCUGUCUCCAGAUGAUGCUGUUUGGAAGGGUUGGCUCAGAGCAGCAAACUUUGUUCUUGCACCUGGAUGCGUGCACUGAUUGACAGAAAGGAGGAAGGCUGGCAGCACAGAUUUGGCAGCUCAACAAUAUUCUUGAUUAUGCUUGUUCUGGAAGAAACUCUUGCCCCCAGAAGACACACUUUGAGGGAAGACUAAAGCUUACUCCAAGAUUAAGCUCACUCAGUCAGGCAACAGAAACCCUCCACACAUAUCCCUGUUCAAACAAAACAGACCAGAUGUAAAGAAUGAAAACUUUCUCUUGAGUACAUGAAAAUCAGCUCCAAGUCAAGCAUUAAUUUGAAAUGAUUAUGCUGCAAACCCUUACAGCCAGCUAGAACCUUCCAGAAUCUUAUUGGUCAUUUGUAGACAAUAUGUAAACAUAAAUGAGACUCAGUGAAUGGAACCUACUCCAAUAAUCAAAUUACACAACCAGCUGUGGGUCCACCAAAAAGCCUUUUUGGCUGCAGACAGCACCUAUGAGAGUAGAAGGUGCUUUGGGAAUGAGAAGCACAGGGAGAGGAGCAAAGAGAUCGUGACUCUUCACAAGGAGGCAUUAUCAAAACUGUCCAGGACUGUAAUUUGGUCAGAUGGUAGGAUCCCUGAACAGAAAGGCAGAGAAAGAGAAUGGAGUUUGGAGGAAAAAGAGAAGGAAAAGUAG